rnacentral:siRNA from 1 species
GAUGCAGGUGUUUUCAGGCACCA